AAAUUGAAGAGUUUGAUCAUGGCUCAGAUUGAACGCUGGCGGCAGGCCUAACACAUGCAAGUCGAACGGUAACAGGAAGCAGCUUGCUGCUUCGCUGACGAGUGGCGGACGGGUGAGUAAUGUCUGGGAAACUGCCUGAUGGAGGGGGAUAACUACUGGAAACGGUGGCUAAUACCGCAUAACGUCGCAAGACCAAAGAGGGGGACCUUCGGGCCUCUUGCCAUCAGAUGUGCCCAGAUGGGAUUAGCUUGUUGGUGAGGUAACGGCUCACCAAGGCGACGAUCCCUAGCUGGUCUGAGAGGAUGACCAGCCACACUGGAACUGAGACACGGUCCAGACUCCU
rnacentral:rRNA from 2 species